UAUGGUAAUGCCAGCCGCCGCGGUAAUACGUAUGGUGCAAGCGUUAUCCGGAUUUACUGGGUGUAAAGGGUGCGUAGGUGGUAUGGCAAGUCAGCAGUGAAAGGCUGGGGCUCAACCCCGGGACUGCUUUUGAAACUGUCAAACUAGAGUACAGGAGAGGAAAGCGGAAUUCCUAGUGUAGCGGUGAAAUGCGUAGAUAUUAGGAGGAACACCAGUGGCGAAGGCGGCUUUCUGGACUGAAACUGACACUGAGGCACGAAAGCGUGGGGAGCAAACAGG
rnacentral:rRNA from 1 species